UACAGAGGGGGCAAGCGUUGUUCGGAAUUACUGGGCGUAAAGGGCGCGUAGGUGGCCUUCUAAGUCGAACGUGAAAUCCCUGGGCUCAACCCAGGAACUGCGUCCGAGACUGGGAGGCUUGAAUCCGGGAGAGGGAUGCGGAAUUCCAGGUGUAGCGGUGAAAUGCGUAGAUAUCUGGAGGAACACCGGUGGCGAAGGCGGCAUCCUGGACCGGUAUUGACACUGAGGCGCGAAAGCCAGGGGAGCAAACAGG
rnacentral:rRNA from 1 species